GGGUAUGUAGCUUAGUGGUAGAGUACUUACCUAACAUUAGUAAGACCCUUAGGUUCAAUCUCUAUACAUACAUA
rnacentral:tRNA from 1 species